AUUGAACGCUGGCGGCAGGCUUAACACAUGCAAGUCGAGCGGGGUGAUGGUGCUUGCACUAUCACUUAGCGGCGGACGGGUGAGUAAUGCUUAGGAAUCUGCCUAUUAGUGGGGGACAACAUUUCGAAAGGAAUGCUAAUACCGCAUACGUCCUACGGGAGAAAGCAGGGGAUCUUCGGACCUUGCGCUAAUAGAUGAGCCUAAGUCGGAUUAGCUAGUUGGUGGGGUAAAGGCCUACCAAGGCGACGAUCUGUAGCGGGCCUGAGAGGAUGAUCCGCCACACUGGGACUGUGACACGGCCCAGACGCCUACGGGAGGCAGCAGUGGGGAAUAUUGGACAAUGGGCGGAAGCCUGAUCCAGCCAUGCCGCGUGUGUGAAGAAGGCCUUUUGGUUGUAAAGCAUUUUAAGCGAGGAGGAGGCUACCUGGAUUAAUACUCUAGGAUAGUGGACGUUACUCGCAGAAUAAGCACCGGCUAACUCUGUGCCAGCCGCCGCCGUAAGAC
rnacentral:rRNA from 1 species